rnacentral:rRNA from 1 species
GUGGGGAAUAUUGCACAAUGGGGGAAACCCUGAUGCAGCAACGCCGCGUGAAGGAAGAAGGUUUUCGGAUCGUAAACUUCUAUCAACAGGGACGAAGAAAGUGACGGUACCUGAAUAAGAAGCCCCGGCUAACUACGUGCCAGCAGCCGCGGUAAUACGUAGGGGGCAAGCGUUAUCCGGAAUUACUGGGUGUAAAGGGAGCGUAGGCGGCACGCCAAGCCAGAUGUGAAAGCCCGAGGCUUAACCUCGCGGAUUGCAUUUGGAACUGGCGAGCUAGAGUACAGGAGAGGAAAGCGGAAUUCCUAGUGUAGCGGUGAAAUGCGUAGAUAUUAGGAAGAACACCAGUGGCGAAGGCGGCUUUCUGGACUGAAACUGACGCUGAGGCUCGAAAGCGUGGGGAGCAAACAGGA